UACGUAGGGGGCAAGCGUUGUCCGGAAUCAUUGGGCGUAAAGCGCGUGUAGGCGGCUUGGUAAGUCUGCUCUGAAAGCCCGGGGCUCAACCCCGGGAGGCGGGUGGAUACUGUCAAGCUCGAGUCCGGAAGAGGAGUGUGGAAUUCCUGGUGUAGCGGUGAAAUGCGCAGAUAUCAGGAGGAACACCAAUGGCGAAGGCAGCACUCUGGGACGUGACUGACGCUGAUGCUCGAAAGCUAGGGGAGCAAACAGG
rnacentral:rRNA from 1 species